rnacentral:lncRNA from 1 species
GUUCAGUUAUGAAAAGGUAUUAUCCCUAUCUCAAGGAAUUCACAACUAAGAAAAACACAUUAACAAUAAAACAAUGACAGGAAGGCUUAAUGAUGGCAGGCACAAAUAAAAUAUUUUGGAUUGGUAGGAAGGAGAAUUCUAAGAUGGUUCCCAAGAUUCUCUGCUGACUUGUUAAUGAUUUUGGUCAAUGGGAAACACAAGCAGAAGUUGGAUAUUGAAAGGAAAGUUUUAGCUAUUUGCUCAUUCUCUCUCCCUUUGCUUCCCUGCUACUGAACUUGUACUAUGUGCCAAGUAUUAACCUGUGCAUAUUGGUAUUUAUUAGAACUUGGUUAAUCUUUCAUAACCUAGCUUUGAAUUGAAAAUUAUUGUCAUCCUUACUUUUUAAAUGAAACUAUGUAAAUUCUUAUGGAUCCUAGAGAGCAAAUUUGGGGCCAGAAUUAUAAUUCAUGUAACCUGACCUGACAGCCCUGACUCUAACCAUCUUCAUAUAUUAUGGUCAUCUUAGAUAACUCAAACUUAUCACUUAAGAGAGAAAACUUAAAUUUGAUUCUUGAAUAUGUUCAUUAGGAUCUCAAAAAAAUGUUUGAUUUACUCAUCAUUGAUUGUAAGAUAAAAUGUGGCAAAUAUAUGAUUCACUGUACUGGAAUCAAACUGAGAAGAUUUUCACAUCAAGCAGAUUUUUUAAAAAAUAGUAAUUACUUUAUUUUUAUUUAUUGGAAAGACAGAGAAAAGAGUUACAGAGAAAAACACAGACAAUGAGAGAUUUUCCAUCCACUGUAAGGAUGAAGAAACAAUUCCAUGGAGGGAAAAAAAGGCAAUCUUUUCAGGAAAUAAUCACAGAACAACUAGAUCACCACAUGAAAAAUGAGGAAGAUGGACUUACAGCUAACACUAUGUACAAAAAUUAACUCCAAGUGCAAAAAAAAAAAAAAAAAACACCUAAAAGUCAGAGCUAAAACCAUUAAUCCUUUAGAAGAAACAUUCAUCUUAGCUUUGGCAACAGUGACUUAAAUACUUAAAAGAAAACUGAGAAAUAAAAAAAGAUAAACUGGACA